GUGCUUCCUUAAGCAGCACAGAGACUAAAAUUACACAGAGAAGUUUAGCAUGGCCCCUGCACGAGGAUGACAUGCAAAUUCCUGAAGCGUUCUAUAUUUUA
ensembl:snRNA U6 U6 spliceosomal RNA